UCUCUCUUCCAACUGUUUAAACUGCUAGUGUCUCAUCUCUCUCCAAACAACUGACUGCUCUCAUCUCCCAUGGCUCUGUAAUAUUUAUGUGUGUGUGUCUGUGUGGGGGUGUGUUUUUAUCUCCCUGUCUGUGUGUGUUUGAGAAAGUGAUUCAGUCUCUCUUUCUGUGCGAUGGCACUACUGCCUAAGGAGGCAGAACGAUUCGAUGGGCUAUCUCUGCUAUACUGGACCGUCAUGGGACCUCACGGCAUCAACCGGGCCAUCGAGAGACUGGAGUUCUGCGACUGCAAGAAAGGACUGGGGGUGAAGAUCAUCGGUGGCUACAGAGAGCAGACACGUGAGGAGUUUGGGAUCUUCAUUAAGCGGGUGUUACCGGGAGGGCUGGCUGCUCAGGAUGGGAGGCUUAGAACGGGCGACCUCAUUUUGGAAGUCAAUAAUAUGAGUUUAGGAGGAGUAACCAAUGAGAGGGCGGUGGAUAUCCUCCGGUCAGCGUCAGCCUCCAAUCACAUGUCUCUGAUGGUUGCCAGAGACGAUGAAAGCAGGCGGGAGUUCAUUGAGUUGAUGAAUAAGUAUGGCUCCCACAGCAGUUUUAAAGGAAGCUCAGGGAGGGUCUCCCCUACACAGCUCUCUACAGGAGGCAAGACAGACACGGCCUCCUCCUCUUCCUCCUCCAGAUCUACCAGUCCCACCAGCCAGCUCUUCAGUCCUAAAGAGGGGGUCACAGGACCUCCCUAUACCACUGGGCCCCCCUAUACGUCUAACCCGAACACAGCCCCUACACAGCCCGUCUUCAAUGACAGCAUCAUUCAGUUGAUAUGCAUCUCAAAGGGAACAGGCCUGGGACUCAUCAUCAAGGGAGGAGCUAACCGAGCCGAGGGACCAAUGGUGUUGAUUCAGGAAAUAGUGCCUGGAGGAGACUGCCAGAGGGACGGUAGACUACAGCCAGGAGACCAGCUGGUGUCGAUUAAUAAGGAGUCGUUAAUCGGAGUGACCUAUGAGGAGGCUAGAAGUAUCCUGACACGCACCAAACUCAGACCAGACCCUACGGUGGAGAUAGCGUUUAUGAGACACAGGUCUUCCACCAGUUCUGCUUCCUCCAGCAGUGGCCCCCAGAGUCCUUUCAUCCCACAGGGCGCAGACAGUGGAGCCUCCUCAGUGCCCCCCACCAGGAGAGGGACCCUGGCUGUGCUGGGGGCCCUGCCUCCCCCUCGGUCACUGCUCCAGCACAGGAGAACCACGCUCCCUGCAGCCCUCCCUGGAGCUCCCCUGGUGGUGCCCAAGAUCACCUCCACCCUCAACCCCGCCAGUGAGACCCUGCCUUCUGUCAACCUCAGCCAGGUGCGAAUGAGGACAGAACAGACGUGCGUCUCCUCCCCUCCUCAGAGUCCCAGCACCACAGACGCCAAGCCUGAAUCCUCCCCUGUAUGGCAGCCAGUCAGCAGUCACGUACCACAAAGGAAGUGCUCCCUCAGCUCCAUCUGUCGCCUCAAACUGGAGAGGCUGGAGCAGGCUCUGGAUGCAUUGGGACUGAAUCCUACAGAGGCACAGAGACAGACGUUGAGGGCCAGACUACAAACAGACCCUGCUGGGACAGUGGCCUAUGCAGACUUUGAGACGCUGACGCGGGAGCUGUUCAAGCUACAGUUUGAGGAGUCAGAGGUGGGAGGUCAGAGGUUAAAGUUUGUGUCAGAAGACCUCUCCAGCCUCCUAGAGUCACCCACCAACACACGGACUUCACUGUCUGACUCUGAUGACCUAGAGGAGAUGGAGAGACUGAGGAAAGACCACAUCGAGGCUCUGAGAGAGAUCAAGAAACUACAGGAGCAGUUGGCAGAGUCCGAGAGACUUCAACUGCAGAUGCAGGGAGAGCUGAACAAGGUCAAACAGGAGGUCAAGUCUGGGGUUGAGGAGAGCCGUGCGCUGCGGAGCCGGAUCCAGCUGUCUGAGGCAGCCCAGAAGCAGGCCAGAGGGAUGGAGAUGGAUUAUGAGGAGGUGAUCCAUCUCCUGGAGGCUGAGAUAGCUGAGCUCCAGACCCAGAGGACAGAGCAGCCCGGCCAGUCCAGCCAGGUGCAGGAUGAGACAGAGGAGCUGAAGAAGAGAGUGGCCGUUCUGGAGUGUCAACUAAGGAAGAACGAGGAGGCCAAAAAGGGCUUUGAGGUGUCCAUGGGUAAACUGCUCAACUUCGUGGAGAACGUCCAAGACUUCCUCAUUGAAAAUCAAGGACCUGUGAAGAGCUACGGCUCCGGUGACGUGAAGGCUGGAGCCUCCUCUCAGCCCCUGGGAGCCCGGGUGGGGAAGAAGUCCCAGUGGACGGCUGCCACACUUACAGCGGAGGCUAAAGAACUCACACGGACUGUUAGCGCCAUUCUGGAGGUGGAGUGUAAGUGAUCUAUCAUCUCGACUCGCUGCAUGCCUGCAUGUCGUCUCUAUCCCUGGUCCAGCAUGCAAAUCCAAUCAGCUCAACAGACAACGAAUCACCUCCAUAGUUCUGAAACCAACCGGAUAACAGACACCAAACCAACCAAAUUAUAUCCAUAGUUACUAAGUUAACCAAAAUCAACCAGCUCAACAGACCUCAAAAAAUCGAGUUACUAAGCCAACCAAAACCAACCGGAUAACAGACACCAAGCCAUCUUUGUAGUUACUAUACACAUCUCAAUCGCCAUCUUUUAGUACAGCGGCCUGUAAGAAAAUGAUGGACAUUCUUGCACUUAAGUUUCAGACAACAGAAUGAGACCGUAAAACAGCUAAGCAACUUCGAGAUGUUCAGUCUCUGUGUCCAGUGGAGUUGAACGGACCAGAGACUAAUUGUUCUGUCCAUAGUUACUAAUAAGUUUUCUCUGUAGUCAGCGUCUAGUGGACUGACAGAAUGAUCUUUCAUUCAACAUGAAAUAUAGUGUUGGAGAUGUUCGCAAGGUUCGACUUUCUAUAGAUUUGUGUUUUGAAUCAAAUAAUUGUUUUCAGAAUUGUACCAGUGUAUCUAGAAAUGUACAGUAAGACCUUAGUCAAUACAAAAACAUCAUCAUACAUAUACCUGAUCAAGUCAGUCGCUAACCACACAGUAGCCCUGAAUGUAGUGGGAUGGGAUGCAGCCAAGUACAUCAAAAGGGGAAAAGCUUUCCACACCGGGACAUAAAAACUCCACGGGGAAGGAAGAAAGAAGUGAAGAAGAUGAUUGAGAUGAAGAGGGGUUAGAUACUGAUGUCGUCAUUACUAACAAGAUUCUUCAGGAAUUACAAUAUAUAGCACCUGGACCAGGAGCCAUAUGGGAGCAAACUGUUUCCGAUUGUUCAAUUCAGUUCUAAUCCAGCGUUGGUGUCAGGUUGUGAGCAGGGUGAGAAGUAGAGCCAUAUAUUAAGAGACUACGGCCAGGUUUCAGAACGGACGCCAUGUUAGCACCUUUAUUCUUGAAAUGUUGGCGACGUAACAAUACGAGAGCGCCUCCGAUAGUUCCCUCUGAAAUGACCCGACUUAAACAAGUAAAACAGAGCAGCGAAUUUAAGACAUUUUUACUGAUUACCAUUCGGAACAAUGUGUAUCCAUGUCGGUAUUGUGGUGUCAACAAAUUGCAUAUCUGCUUUCACUGGACAUCUUCAUAGUUUUCAAAACCUUUCAGAAAGAAACAGCACAAUGCGUAACCAUAAAUUAUCACUUAACAACGGCUAUGGAGGAGAAAGUGGCGCUUUCGGAAUGUUCAGACAGAAACCACAUUGGCCCAACUCUCUGUAUUGAUGCCUCUGGUGAGAAGUAAUGACCUCCAAGGUCACUGUCUCCUGUCUCUAGUUUAACCUUGUCUGAUCCAAUGAGACUUUCUCCUGACCCCUGACCCCUCUUGACCUUUCCCAGUCAGAGGUGAAGCAGCCAAUCAACCUGGUGAUCUAACUCUCACCCAUAGAGAUAGAUAGAGGACUCUAGUGCCCAAAAUUCUGUUUUAGCAUGGGCAGCGCCAUUGAGGACAUAACCAUUUUGAAGUAGUCAACUAGGUGGGACUUCCUAUGGAUUUAGGAAGGAUCACAUAAUUCCAUCCAGUUCAUCAGGAGGGAUCAGCCAAUGAAUUAUACCCGUGAGAAAACAAUUUACUGCAGGUGGCAGUAAACUGUCAAUCUUGGCUUUAUACCUGUUCAAACAACAAACUCCAGGUAGCAGUAUGCACCCUUUCAGUUUGUUUACGAACUCAUAGAAGUAGUAGUAGAAGAAAAAUGGAGAUGGCCUCAAUGGUGCUGCCCAUGCUCUCAUAGACGCCAUAAUGAGACAGAUACAAUGUUUCGUCCUCUAACCAUCUCUACGCUCUCACCUGAGGCGGACGUGUCAUUGUGACUCUGGGGUGUGUCAACUCAACCCUAUGGGCCCUGGUCAAAAGUAGUGCACUAAAUAGGGAAUAGGGUGCCAUUUUGGGAUGUAGCCUUUCUCUCUAUCUGUUUUCAUUUCCGGUAAUCAUAGAUGAAUGUCAGAUACAAAAAAUAAAAAUGUACUGUCCUUGAUAAUAUGAGUCAGUGUUGGAGAACUAGAAACUGUAUGGUAGGAUUAGAGAACUAGAAAAUGUAUGGUAGGAUUAGAGAACUAGAAAAGGUAUGGUAGGAUUAAAGAACUAGAAAAGGUAUGGUAGGAUUAGAGAACUAGAAAAGGUAUGGUAGGAUUAGAGAACUAGAAAAGGUAUGGUAGGAUUAGAGGAGAACUAGAAAAGGUAUGGUAGGAUUAGAGAACUAGAAAAUGUAUGGUAGGAUUAGAGAACUAGAAAAGGUAUGGUAGGAUUAAAGAACUAGAAAAGGUAUGGUAGGAUUAAAGAACUAGAAAAGGUAUGGUAGGAUUAGAGAACUAGAAAAGGUAUGGUAGGAUUAGAGAACUAGAAAAGGUAUGGUAGCAUUAGAGAACUAGAAAAGGUAUGGUAGGAUUAGAGGAGAACUUGAAAAGGUAUGGUAGGAUUAGAGGAGAACUAGAAAAGGUAUGGUAGGAUUAGAGGAGAACUUGAAAAGGUAUGGUAGGAUUAGAGAACUAGAAAAGGUAUGGUAGGAUUAGAGAACUAGAAAAGGUAUGGUAGCAUUAGAGAACUAGAAAAGGUAUGGUAGGAUUAGAGGAGAACUUGAAAAGGUAUGGUAGGAUUAGAGGAGAACUAGAAAAGGUAUGGUAGGAUUAGAGGAGAACUUGAAAAGGUAUGGUAGGAUUAGAGGAGAACUAGAAAAGGUAUGGUAGGAUUAGAGAACUAGAAAAGGUAUGGUAGGAUUAGAGGAGAACUAGAAAAGGUAUGGCAGGAUUAGAGCAGAACUAGACAAGUUAUGGUACUGUAGGAUGACAGGAGAACUAGAAAAGGUAUGGUAGGAUGACAGGAGAACUAGAAAAGGUAUGGUACUGUAGGAUGACAGGAGAACUAGAAAAGGUAUGGUAGGAUGACAGGAGAACUAGAAAAGGUAUGGUACUGUAAGAUUAGAGGAGAACUAGAAAAGGUAUGGUACUGUAAGAUUAGAGGAGAACUAGACAAGGUAUGGUACUGUAGGAUGACAGGAGAACUAGAAAAGGUAUGGUAGGAUGACAGGAGAACUAGAAAAGGUAUGGUACUGUAGGAUGACAGAAGAACUAGAAAUGUUUUGGUACUGUAGGAUGACAGGAGAACUAGAAAUGUUUUGGUACUGUAGGAUUAAAGGCUGCCAGACUGUUACUUUACACUUCUGCCAUUCAACAAAAAAAAGGAUCUGCCAUCUGAGGCUGAUAAUAAUAUCACGUGAUUCUGUGAAACAAAAGAAGGUCCUAUGAAUGUUCUGUGAGAGGAAGGAAGGAAGUCCUUUCUGGUUUUUGAUGACUUCUAAGAGGACAUUGGAUCAGUUGGAAAAUCUAUUGUGUUCAUUGGUGUGUUAUGUAAGCUUGUGUGUUAAGGAGGGGUAGAUAAGUAGGUCAAUCCAAUAUCAGGCGACCCAAAGUGUUAGUUAGAAAAAUGUAUUAAAGUGUCACUCCACAAUGAUAGUAUAGUUGACAAUACAAAAUACCAAUUGUAAUAACCACACUGUGGACCACUCAGUUUAAGACACUAAAAGCGGUCAUAGUCAAACAUGGUACAGUAGUUUAAUUUGCUCAUCUAUAAUACAUAAUACUAUCUAUACAUUAUUAUACAUUAGGUCAUCUGUACACAUGUAUACAUAAACAAAAACCAAAGUACGGUAGAUAACAGGACAUUUAGACACAUAUAAAGAAACGUCUCCAUGUAUUAUUUCUAUCCGUUCAGUUGAUGAAAAGGAUGAGGCCUGAUGUGGUUGUAUACCCCGCAAUACAGCAAGGCUCAAGAUUUUCAAUGGAUCUAGCAUUACAAAAUCAACAGAUGUUUAUCUAAGGGAGUGUGUGUGUGUGUGUGUGUGUGUGUGUGUGUGUGUGUGUGUGUGUGUGUGUGUGUGUGUGUGUGUGUGUGUGUGUGUGUGUGUGUGUUUGUACUUUAGACAUUCUCCUCUCCCCAGAUCCCAUCUUAGUCAUUUCCACUGGGCUCAGUGUUGCUUGGUUGUGUACUGAAUAUCCACUCUUUCUGAGUGGAUAUUCACAAACACACACACACAUUUUGGGUCUCUAAUAUUGGAUUGACCUACUUACCUACCCCUUCUCAACACACACACACACACACACACACACACACACACACACACACACACACACACACACACACACACACACACACUCAACCUAAUGACAAUUUUUAGGUUGCGCAAAGGUUGUAAUUGAAAGGAAUUGACUUGGAAUUUAAAGAGUCCUCCUUCUGUCUAUUCAGUUCUAGGACCCUUUCUUAGACUUGCCUCAUACUUACAUCAAACUUACAUAAUAUAAUAAUAAUAUAUACCAUUUAGCAGACAGCUUUAUCCAAAGCGACUUAGUCAUGUUUGUAUACAUUUUGUACGUAUGGGUGGCCUCAGGAAUCGAACCCACAAUCCUGGCGUUGCAAGCGCUUCACUCUAUACCGCUCAAACUCAACUCUGGACCCCCAAGCCAGUUCCACUGUGUUUUUUCAUUGUUUCUUUCUAAUCAGGGACUGGUUUAGACCUGGGACAGCAGGUGGGUGCAAUUAAUUAUCAGGUAGAUCAGAAAACCAGGAGGCUCCGGACCUCGUAGGGUCAGAGUUGAAUACCCCUGCUCUAUACCCACUAAAGCAUACAGGACCACCACAUCACACACUUUAUACAAAAGUCCUUGUUUAUGUACAGUAUUAUGCUGUAUAUCGUAUCCUCAGCAAUAAAUGUUUUCUACAGAACACUUUCUGUGUGCUAUAAAGCGGUGGUUGGGGUUUAGGGUAAUAGCACCCACAGUUAGCCUGAGGUGUCAUAAAACUUAUGUAAACUGUUACAAAUGUCUGUAUAUUUACAGCAAAAUGUUUAGUUAGCUACUGGAAUUCUAUAUAACAGUACACAACUGUAAAGUGCAAUACAUUAUGGGGGCUCAAUGGAAUUCCACUAUUAGCUACAUAGGUUGGCAAGUAGUCUAGUGCUUAAGAGCGAUGGGACAGUAACCGAAAGGUCGCUGGUUUGAAUCCCUGAGCGAAUUAGGUGAAAAAACUGUCUGCCUGUAAGUGGCUCUGGAUAAGAGCGUCUGCUAAAUGACUAACAUGUAAAUGUUGCUAUUCCAAAUACAGUGUGCAGGUAGACAUAUCUAACCCCGUCUUUGUUACUAAUCAGUAGGGUUGCAAAAUUCCUGGAACUUUCAAAAUAUUCCCUAGUUUUCCCAAAAUCCUGGUUGGAGGAUUCCCAGAAUCUGGAGGGAAAAGCAGGAAAUCCAGAAUACUCCAACCAGGCAUUCUGGAAAACCAGGGAAGUUCCUGGAAUUUUACAAUCCUACUAAUCAAACACUUAGUCAAUCAUAUUGAUUUAGCAUUGUUACAUGUUAAAUUUAGUUACAUUUUAUAUUUAUAAUACUGUUAUUCAACCAUUUCCUUUGCUUUAAAAACUGUCAAAAUAAAAUAAAAAUCUGAUCCUGUUAA